UACAGAGGUCCCAAGCGUUGUUCGGAUUUACUGGGCGUAAAGGGUGCGUAGGCGGCGAGAUAAGUCUGGCGUGAAAUCUCCGAGCCUAACUCGGAAACUGCGUCGGAUACUAUUUUGCUAGAGGAAUGGAGGGGAGACUGGAAUACUUGGUGUAGCAGUGAAAUGCGUAGAUAUCAAGUGGAACACCAGUGGCGAAGGCGAGUCUCUGGACAUUUCCUGACGCUGAGGCACGAAAGCCAGGGGAGCAAACGGG
rnacentral:rRNA from 1 species